GCCUGGGUAGUUUAGUGGCAAAACAAAUCCUUGGUAAGGAUUAGAGCGGGGGUUCGAUUCCCCCCCCAGGCU
rnacentral:tRNA from 1 species